UGUCUGGAAGAGGCAGGUAGGACAGCGUGUGCCGCCUACAAACAUCACUUUGCUUGACAUCUGACACAGCCCGUGACACCUGCACGCAGGCAGCUGAGCACCUUGAGUAACCUGUGACGAGAACAAGGCGGGCACCUGAGUCCUGUUAGGCGAUCACAAGGCAAAGUGAUUUCUGUCGGCUUUGUACUUCAUUCCUUCUGUCGAUUUGCAUCAGAAGGCAGCUCAGCAAAUGCUCAGCACUUGGCAACCCUGAGACAAAGAGGGUUUUUUCUGACCAAACUCAGCUACCUGAUUCAGGCCAUUCUUCAGAUGCACCGUUUGAUUCAACAUGUCAAAUGUGGUUUACCUUUAAGCCUCUGCAUUCUUCAUGGAAGGAAUCAAUGUAUAGGAUCUUCUGGCUCAUAUCACUCAGGACUGGAUCCCGACUGGAGGCCCGUGAUGCUAAUUUUGUGAAGAUCUAUUUAUUUAUUGGCCAUACCCCUCCUGCAUAGCAUUGCCUGGGAUUCCCUGAUACAGAAAGCAGCCCCAUGUAAGAGCACAGGAUCUACAUGGUCCAUGGAAAACAUCCUGCCUGCUGACAAGAGAGUGAAAGUAACGUAGGUGCUGCAUUAGCUUAUUGAAAAGGCUGGACAUCAUUGGUGAGGGAUGAAAGAGAAGCAGGACACGUCAUUUGAUAUCAAAAGAGCAAUGCUGGAGCCUUGAUCUACAGGAACAGAAACAAGACUUGCCUGGCACCGAGGGAUUAGCCCUCCAAGAAACCAUCUAAACUGACCAACACCCUGCAAUUCACUGGGAGGAAGGAAGAGGAUUCUAGGGCAUAGAGAUUUUGAGUCAGUGGUCUGGAUUUGCUCAUCAUCUUCCUGGAAAGGAGAAUUUUAAGAACGAGAACAGAAAAAAAGCCUGGUAAAAGUUGUAGCUGGCUCUGCCUGUCUGUGCUAUGACAGCCAACAAUAUCACCUGCUGAUGAUUUACAGAUUCCUGGGAGAUGUGUUGUUGAGUCUCAAAGAACUGGAACAAGAACAACUCGCUUAAAUUGCUUCCCGUGAAACAGCACAAUGUAUCCACCCGCCUCAUGCUCUCCUAAUUUAGGACACAUGUAGUGUGUAAUGAUGAACUGGCCAACUGAUUAUGUUGCUGUAAAUCUCAUUCCCCACCUUACAAAACACCCCUGAUUGACCCCUUUUUCAUGAUAGCUCAGAGCAACAUUUACAGUCCACUUCUUGAGAGGGAGAAAAAUUGCACCAGCUACUUGCAAAAGCACUUCUCCACAGAGAAAAAUGCAACAUUUUGUUGUUUUUUUUCCAUUGGGCAGCCUUUUCAAGUUCUGUGACCCACUUUUGCUUCCCUUUAAAUCGUGACUAGUAUUUAUUUAUCCCUCUUUGAACACAAUAACUUAAUUAGGAAACUAAUCAGCGGUUGAACUGAUCUUUCAACUCACCCCUAUCACUGAAAGAAAUUUAUGAAUGCAUAAUACAAGAAAGAUCCUAUUAUCUAAAAAGCUUUCUACUAAAAGCAUUUGGUGUCUAAAAAGUAAGACUUGAAAUUCUGCACUAAAUUUAUAACGUAAAUAUAUUAACACUAUUUAUAGACUCUGAAAUGUACCCCAGCUGAAUCUAACAAGUUUGUCUGUAUUAAAAUAAAAUUGUUACA